UUUGAAAUAAUUAUCUCAUUCCAAUUAGUGUUGUUGUUGAGCAGACCAAGUCCAGAAUCAAAAUUUUGGGUUUGAUUUGUUUAAACCUAAUUUAAGCGCAAGCACAACACAAGCCUAACGUGGAGAUCAAAAAUUUGUUGAAGUUCGGAUUGUUAUUUUUUUCAAAUGGGUUUCAAUCUGCUCAUAAACUUAAUUGACAAAGGAACCCCAUUCUCCUACUUUACAAGGAAGAAAGAGAGAGAUACAGAGAGAAAGAGCCAGUCACUGAACCAAAUUGCUUUGAAGCAAACCUUUUUGACAUGUUCACACGAGAGCUCUUAAAGAAAGUAAAUUAAAUCAGGAGCAAAAAGCAGAGAGCAAGGGACAAAAUUGAAGCAUACAAACAAUAUGAAGUACUGAUCUGAGAAAAUGUAGAUUUCCGUCAUAUGCUGAAAUAAAAAUGCAAGUAAUGAGCCUAUGUGUACAACAGUAACUAAUAACAGAUACAUAAAAUAAAUGGAUCUGGAACAAUUCUUGA
rnacentral:misc_RNA from 1 species